rnacentral:tmRNA from 1 species
GGGGAUGUUCCGGAUUCGACUGAGUACGUUAGGUGUUAGCUGCAUGCCGAGGAUGAUCGUGGGCCUCGUAAAUCAUCGAUUAAAACAACAACUGCGAACGAAGAGUACGCACUGGCCGCUUAAUUGACGGUCACGUCUUUACCCUGAUGGGUGCUAAGGGAUAAAGGCGUCAAACAGCGCCCUGGUUUGGAAAUUUAACUUUUCGGUUUUCAAACAAGAUUAAAGAGAAGCCAGUCUGGAAGCAGGCCUGUUCACUGGCUAAGCCUACGGACGAUAAACAAUAAAAGGUGAAAUAAGCAUGUAGACGUUACCGCUAUACUACUUCAACACGGGGGUUCAACUCCCCCCAUCUCCACCA